rnacentral:lncRNA from 1 species
AGUGGCAGCCGGAGGAACUACGGCUAGAAGAUUACGUGACUUCGCUCGGCUCUAAGCUGCAGCCUAACGCCCGCUAAUGUCAGCAGAGAGAGGGAGAGGAAGUGUCCUCCGAGACAGCACACGGGAACCCACACGGCACUCCGAAGGACGUCACUAGGAGGGGGACCAGGUGUGACCCUGAAGACUGGGAGUGCCACCCUGACCAGGCUGAAGCUGACAUGAUUAGCAAGCAUCGUAACCUUGCAACCUAUGGGAACCUGAGGAACUGCAUCACAAGAGUGAAAGGGACGCCCACCCAGCACUUCUUCGAGG